rnacentral:sRNA from 1 species
UAUGUGACAUCAAAGGUGUAUAUGUGACAUCAAAGGUGUAUAUGUGACAUCAAAGGUAUAUAUGUGACAUCAAAGAUGUAGAUGUGACAUCAAAGGUGUAUAUGUGACAUCAAAGGUGUAUAUGUGACAUCAAAGAUGUAGAUGUGAAGAUCUUUGGAAAAA